CGUUAGCGGCGGACGGGUGAGUAACACGUGGAUAACCUACCUAUAAGACUGGGAUAACUUCGGGAAACCGGAGCUAAUACCGGAUAACAUAUUGAACCGCAUGGUUCAAUAGUGAAAGGCGGCUUUGCUGUCACUUAUAGAUGGAUCCGCGCCGUAUUAGCUAGUUGGUAAGGUAACGGCUUACCAAGGCAACGAUACGUAGCCGACCUGAGAGGGUGAUCGGCCACACUGGAACUGAGACACGGUCCAGACUCCUACGGGAGGCAGCAGUAGGGAAUCUUCCGCAAUGGGCGAAAGCCUGACGGAGCAACGCCGCGUGAGUGAUGAAGGUCUUCGGAUCGUAAAACUCUGUUAUCAGGGAAGAACAAAUGUGUAAGUAACUGUGCACAUCUUGACGGUACCUGAUCAGAAAGCCACGGCUAACUACGUGCCAGCAGCCGCGGUAAUACGUAGGUGGCAAGCGUUAUCCGGAAUUAUUGGGCGUAAAGCGCGCGUAGGCGGUUUUUUAAGUCUGAUGUGAAAGCCCACGGCUCAACCGUGGAGGGUCAUUGGAAACUGGAAAACUUGAGUGCAGAAGAGGAAAGUGGAAUUCCAUGUGUAGCGGUGAAAUGCGCAGAGAUAUGGAGGAACACCAGUGGCGAAGGCGACUUUCUGGUCUGUAACUGACGCU
rnacentral:rRNA from 2 species